rnacentral:Y_RNA from 1 species
GGCUGGUCCAAUGGCAGUGGGUUAUCAGAAAACUUACUAACAUUAGUGCCACUAAAGUUGGUAUACAAUCCCCCACUGCUAAAUUUGACUGGCUUUAA